rnacentral:lncRNA from 1 species
GUGUGGCUAGACUGAGCUCAGGCGGGGGCAGGGCUAGGCCGCAACUCUGCCCCCUGAGAAGCUCAGACCCCGAAAGAGGCCGCCCAGAGCUGGGCCAAUUCAGCCGGUGACCAGGCCAGACCUGCAGGCAGAGACAGGAGCCCAGCAAGGAGGCCGGGCCACUGGGCCUGGGAGUCUCCCGGCACCCACGACCAGAGCCGCACACGAAGCCAGGCAGCCCCCGGAGGAGGAGGCGUGCUGGUCUGUAGGGGGAGGCGCUCGGGACCCAGGCAGCUGUGAAUGAACGCCGAUAGCUCCGUGGACCAGGCCGUCUGCGUGGCACUCACGCCCCACUGGGAGCCAGGAUUACUUCGGCACGCUGAGUGAGUAAAGCAGGCGUGGGGCUCAGCGGUGAUCUCCCAGCAGGUGCAUCCAAGCCCGCAGUGUAGACGGCCCAGCCCUGCUUGGAGACCCGUUGUCCUCAGCUGGGCGAUCCAGGU